rnacentral:rRNA from 1 species
UGUAACGGGGCUAAACCAUGCACCGAAGCUGCGGCAGCGACACUAUGUGUUGUUGGGUAGGGGAGCGUUCUGUAAGCCUGUGAAGGUGGCCUGUGAGGGUUGCUGGAGGUAUCAGAAGUGCGAAUGCUGACAUAAGUAACGAUAAAGCGGGUGAAAAGCCCGCUCGCCGGAAGACCAAGGGUUCCUGUCCAACGUUAAUCGGGGCAGGGUGAGUCGACCCCUAAGGCGAGGCCGAAAGGCGUAGUCGAUGGGAAACGGGUUAAUAUUCCCGUACUUGGUGUUACUGCGAAGGGGGGACGGAGAAGGCUAUGUUGGCCGGGCGACGGUUGUCCCGGUUUAAGCGUGUAGGUGUGUGUUCCAGGUAAAUCCGGUUCACUUUAACACUGAGGCGUGAUGACGAGGCACUACGGUGCUGAAGCAACAAAUGCCCUGCUUCCAGGAAAAGCCUCUAAGCAUCAGGUAACAUCAAAUCGUACCCCAAACCGACACAGGUGGUCAGGUAGAGAAUACCAAGGCGCUUGAGAGAACUCGGGUGAAGGAACUAGGCAAAAUGGUGCCGUAACU